rnacentral:rRNA from 1 species
AAAGGUAAGCUACUAAGAGCGAAUGGUGGAUGCCUUGACUGGUAAAGGCGAUGAAGGACGUACUAGACUGCGAUAAGCUACGGGGAGCUGUCAAGAAGCUUUGAUCCGUAGAUUUCCGAAUGGGGCAACCCAAUGUAUAGAGAUAUACAUUACCUAUAUAGGAGCGAACGAGGGGAAUUGAAACAUCUUAGUACCCUCAGGAAAAGAAAUCAAUAGAGAUUGCGUCAGUAGCGGCGAGCGAAAGCGCAAGAGGGCAAACCCAGUGCUUGCACUGGGGGUUGUAGGACUGCAAUGUGCAAGAGCUGAGUUUAG